rnacentral:rRNA from 1 species
GACGAACGCUGGCGGCGUGCUUAACACAUGCAAGUCGAACGGAAAGGCCUGCUUUCCCUUGUGGAUUGCGGGUGCUCGAGUGGCGAACGGGUGAGUAACACGUGAGUGAUCUGCCCCCAACUUGGGUAUAAGCCUGGGAAACUGGGUCUAAUUCCCGAUAGGACUGCAGGGUGGUGCCGGUGGUGGAACACGAUGUUCUAGUGGUUGGGGAUGAGCUCGCGGCCUAUCAGCUUGUUGGUGGGGUAAUGGCCUACCAAGGCGGCGACGGGUAGCCGGCCUGUGAGGGUGGACGGCCACAUUGGGACUGGGAUACGGCCCAGACUCCUGCGGGAAGCAGCAGUGGUGAAUAUAGCACAAUGGGCGGAAGCCUGAUGCAGCGACGCCGCGUGGGGGAUGACGGCCUUCGGGUUGUAAACUCCUUUCGACCGCGAGGAAGCCACCUGGUUGGAAGGGUGGUGACGGUAGUGGUAGAAGAAGCACCGGCUAACUACGUG